rnacentral:rRNA from 1 species
CAAUUGGAGAGUUUGAUCCUGGCUCAGAGCGAACGCUGGCGGCGUGCCUAACACAUGCAAGUCGAACGAGAAAGCCUUCGGGCGAGUAGAGUGGCGGACGGGUGAGUAACACGUGAGCAACCUGUCUCCAGAUCUGGAAUAACCUUUCGAAAGAAGGGCUAAUACCGGAUAAGACCACAGAAUCUAAUGAUUCAGUGGUAAAAGGUGGCCUCUCCUUGGAAGCUACUGUCUGGUGAUGGGCGCGCGGACCAUUAGCUUGUUGGUGAGGUAACGGCUCACCAAGGCAACGAUGGAUAGCCGGCCUGAGAGGGUGAACGGCCACACUGGGACUGAGACACGGCCCAGACUCCUACGGGAGGCAGCAGUGG